AAGUCGUAACAAGGUUUCCGUAGGUGAACCUGCGGAAGGAUCAUUAAUGAUUUCUGAGAGGCUCUGCCUUUCUCCUUUCAUAUCCAUAACACCUGUGCACUGUCGGAUGAACAUAGCUCUCGAGCUGUGAGCAUCUUGAUAUUUAUUUUUACCAAACAACUAUGUAACCAAUGUAACUUUAUUAUAAAAUAAUAAAACUUUCAACAACGGAUCUCUUGGCUCUC
rnacentral:misc_RNA from 1 species